rnacentral:rRNA from 1 species
GCAGCGCAAGGGUGAGUAAUACAUGGCUAACAUACCCCAAACAUGAGAAUAACUAUUAGAAAUGAUAGCUAAUGCUCAAUAGUUUCUUAAGACCUCCUGGUCUAAAGAAUAAAGGUAGGGAUCCUUCGGGACCUUCCGGUUUGGGAGUGGGUCAUGGGCUAUCAGCUAGUUGGUGAGGUAAAGGCUCACCAAGGCUAAGACGGCUAGGCGAUCUGAGAGGAUGAUCGCCCACAUCGGGACUGAGACACUGCCCGGACUCCUACGGGAGGCUGCAGUCGAGAAUCUUCCGCAAUGGGCGCAAGCCUGACGGAGCGACGCCGCGUGAGGGACGAAGGCUUUAGGGUCGCAAACCUCUUUCGCUUGUUAAGAAAAGUGUAUGUUAAUAGCAUGUACCCUGACAAAGGCAAGUAAAGAAGCACCGGCUAAAUCCGUGCCAGCAGCCGCGGUAAUACGGAUGGUGCAAGCGUUACUCGGAAUCACUGGGCGUAAAGCGUUCGUAGGUGGUUCAUUAAGUUGGAUGUGUAAUCCCACGGCUUAACCGUGGAACUGCGUUCAAAACUGAUAAACUAGAGGGCAGUAGGGGACAAGGGAACUUCGGGUGGAGCGGUGAAAUGCGUAGAUAUCUGAAGGAACACCGAUGGCGAAAGCACUUGUCUGGGCUGAUUCUGACACUGAGGAACGAAAGCUAGGGUAGCGAACGGGAUUAGAUACCCCGGUAGUCCUAGCCGUAAACGAUGGAUACUAGC